GUUUGAUCCUGGCUCAGAGCGAACGUUAGCGGCGCGCCUAACACAUGCAAGUCGAGCGUGAAAGGGGCAACCUGAGUAAAGCGGCGGACGGGUGCGUAACACGUAGAUAACCUGCCCUUUGGAGGGGGAUAACGUUCCGAAAGGAACGCUAAUACCGCGUAAAGCGUUUGGUGGUUCGCCACUAGACGGCAAAGACUGGGACCCGCAAGGGCCAGUCGCCAGAGGAGGGGUCUGCGGCCCAUCAGCUAGUUGGUGAGGUAAUGGCUCACCAAGGCAAAGACGGGUAGCUGGUCUGAGAGGAUGAUCAGCCACACUGGUACUGGAACACGGACCAGACUCCUACGGGAGGCAGCAGUGGGGAAUCUUGGUCAAUGGGCGCAAGCCUGAACCAGCGACGCCGCGUGAGUGAUGAAGGCCUUCGGGUUGUAAAGCUCUGUGGGGAGGGACGAAAGAGCACGUUCUAACAGGACGUGUGUUGACGGUACCUCCUUAGCAAGCACCGGCUAACUCUGUGCCAGCAGCCGCGGUAA
rnacentral:rRNA from 1 species